ACUUCAGUGGUCAGCCAGCGGAGAGCAGCUCAAGUUUAAAGUUGGAAGUCGAAAAGUUAUUUAUUUAUAUAUUUAGCAACUUUUUUGUAUUGUUGGUUAAACUAGAGGCUGGAAUCAAUUUGAAGUAUUUUAAACGCGUGAAACGAACCAUCUUUGACGCAGCUGUUCGUCUGUAGUUUAAUUCCGUUGCGUAACGUAAAGCUAGUCGGCUAAUGCUAGGUCAUCGCACCUCGAGGCCCCGGAGCAGCGUCGUGCUAAAGACCCGCUACGUGUCCGCUCGGGGCGAGGACCGAACAGGUGACGGUCGUGUUUUCAGAGAAAUGAUUUUGUUUGCGAAGGAAUCUCAGGCGCUGGUCUCUUGGAGCACCGGCAGAGCCCGGGGAGCCUUUGAUUGGCCGACGUCAUGAGGAGUGUAAACUCACCAGGUAUUUCGUUGCAGUCCCUGCGCUGCGUGCCGUUCCCCACGCAGGGAACGUUGCCCUGGGCGCCGCACGCUCGACUCCUCAUCUGCAGACCCGAAUCAUCGCAGGCCGACCACAGCGACCAGGCCAUCCAGCCGCCUGAACACAGAGCAUCAGCGUCAGCGCCGAUCCAGACGAGCGCGAGGACGCGGCCUGGAAAGCAGCGCGCCCACCCAAGCUGCCGCCACCCGCGGCCGCUGAACCCCCCCACCCCCACCGUCCAGGAGGCCCCGGCCACCGAAAAGUGUUUGUGAUGUAAACAGGACUGAAGGAGAGAGUUUGUUUAGUGCAUAGCAGAGAUGUUUGUCUCCUGAGCUGAGCUUUAGUGCCGUUUCCCCGCAGCAGGCGACCAAGCAGUAAACAAAGACCGGAGAGGAAGAGGAAGGAGAACAUUCCCAGCGCCCUGCUCCUCCUUUUGAACCGAGCGGUCCCUACACCCUUUCACCCGGCGUCUGAAAGCCCCGGAGUGGAGGGAGCACAGGCUGCAGCGAUGAAAGGCUGAUGGAAAAGCCAGUUUGUUAUUCAGUGUGCUCUCGAGUGUGCAGUUUUGGCAGCGGAGCCCGAGUGGAGGCACAGGACCGGCCUCUUUUACCUUUCCUAUCAGUCUGCUGCUCACUGACGGGCCGCUCAGUCGCCACCAUCUGCUCCUUUAUCGCAGCACAAGCAUCUAGACACAGAAACACACCGACCACCUCAAACAAGUUUAAUAACCAUGCAUCACUACAGCCGUCCUAAUUGCUUCAUUUAUUCCCAUUUAUUUUGUCACCCGGACGACCUGCGUGAUUGCACUGUUGAGUCGGAAGCAGCGGCACAGGCCCCGGGCUGCUAGUUGGUAUUCUGUCCCAGCAGCGCUUCCUGCUGUCCUCCAUUACUGCUGGAGACUUUAAUCAAAUGACCUGCGACAGGGGCAUCAAAUAUCCUCGUGACUGACAGCCAGCUAGCCCGUGAUUACACAUGCAGAGGGGGCGGCGGCACCAGAAGGACUCCGGCGGAUGACCGGCGCCGCGUCUGCCCACAAAUGAACGAUGAGGAGGCAGAUACGAGCGGUGGAGGUCCAUCAACACAAAGGGGAGCGUUGGUCCACGUCACACAGGGAAACGCUAACCUGAUAAAAGGUGCCUGAUUAAUAUUCCUGCAAGAAGGAGGAGGGGGAGGAAGAAAGCCAUUUACCUUCCUUAGUAAUUACCAGGAAGAAUGACUGAGGAUCAUUUUCCCUGUGAAUGACAGUUGAGCUGAUGGAAAAUGAAAAGCACCGAGGGAAGCAGUUAGGGGACAACAACUAUUAGAUUUAGAGAGAAAUCAUCUGCAACACGACGCAUCACUGUACACACACACACACACACACACACACACACUGAAGUACAUACGAGAACAGCCCCGACAAAUUGUUUGCUUCCAGCCAAAUGGAUGAGGACGAAGUGGAAAUCCCAUUGUAGAAGGUUGUCUGAUAUGAAACGGCGCUGAUGCUGGCCUGUGUUUUCCCCUCCUGGAUUAGCAGGCAGGUCUCAUGAAUAUUUCAGUGUCCUUGUAGAAGCAGAGUAAGUGUAGAGGAGGGACACGGAGGGCGUUGUUACACGUCUCCCAUCUCAUUAUCACAUGGGGUGAGACUUUGAGGGAGCGAGGCUAACCUCCAAAUCAAAGGACGCCAUCGGAACGCCUGAUUUAGUCUCAGUCCAACUUCGGCAAAGUCAACUUUGUGUUUACUCUGAUAUUUCCUAUUUGAAUAUCUUGAAAUAAAUCGAACACUUAACAGCACGACGCUAGAGCAAUUCUCCUUCUUACCUCCUACUUUGUGAUUUAAAGGGAGCAGACAUGAAUCUGAUUAUUGAAACCAAUACUUAGCUGGUGGUCUCCAUAGAAUCAGACGUGCACAUACACAAGCAAUCAAAGGUUUUCAGGUGUGUCUGUGUAGCACCAUACAAGUGAUUCUUGGGUUGCCAUGGCGCCCGGCACGGCGGGGUAGGCAGGUUGUUCUCCCAGCACGACUCUGUUUAUCAUUUCAUGUAUACAUUUAUUCAUUAGUAGAUGAAAGGCUUAAUUUCCAGGAGGAGAUAACACAAAAGUGCGUGUGUGUGUGACCUUACCAUCGCAUGUGUGUGUGUUACACAGGGCCUCCUCCGUGUGCAGGCCUAUGCAGAUGUCCCCCCCACUGGUUGGCGCAGGGCUGUUACAGGAGCGUGUGCGUUGGUAGUGACCUCCACCACAACCCACCGAGCACUGGGACCAGGACGACCAGCAGGACCAGGCCCCAUUCACUGGAAUGACACCACAUCAGGUUUGAGGCCUCAGCGGAGCCCGUGAAUGUGGAGCCUGCAGGUCCUUCACAGACACUCAACCGUAAUUAUAUUCUCUGUUUCAUCUGAUCUCAUCAGAGGAGCGUGGCUGACUAAUUGACUGGCUGAUGUCCGUCUGACUGACAGAGCGGCAGCGUUGCCAGAUGUACUGGACUUCAGCAGUGUGACCUCUCACAAGACAUCAUCAUGGAUGGACGUGAUGAAUCUUAAAAUCUUCUGGGUCUUCCCUGGAGAACAACGUAGCGGCCCUGAAGCUAACGGCCUUCGUCUACAGCAACAAACCGCGUGAGCGCUCACGUGGAUGCGUCUCCACCUACCGGGACACGCCUGAACGUUGCAGUCCUGGUACUCAACGGGCGAACCGCGGCACGCGACCGGAGCGCUCUUCCCCUCUGGGCCGGAGCAGGUCCGACGCCGGGUGCGGUAGCCUUUGGCGCAGCUCUGGGAACAGCUCGACCAGGUCUCCCAAGACGACCAGCCUGCGCCGGCGACUCUGACCACCGGUGUCUUCAGGAGCUCCUCAACGAGGGCUGCAGAGAAGGAAAGAUGAGAUUUCCUAAAUACAAGUCACACCUUAUAUGACUUUGCCAGGAAGCAUAUUUCUGUCUGUCCUCCUCUUAAACGCUGUGUCUUUCAUGCAUGCCACAGUUGCUGGCUGUUGGUGUUUCAUCAGUUUGUCAGAGUCGAUGCGGCCCACCCCCCAGGAGGCUGACGGGGGGAGACAGGUAAUCGAUUCAGAAGAAAGGGGCAUGAAAAAGCUACCGGAGGAGAGCAGUGGACUGUAAACCUGUGUGUGUGUGUGUGAGAGAGUGUGUGUAUGUGUGUGUGAGAGUGGGAGUGAGUGCUGGACUGUGACCCCAUCACUAACAGCAUGUAGGGGAGCUAACAGGUCCAACAGCGGGGCCUUUCCAACGUGUCACAUGCCUUCUGGGAGACAUUCUAACUGCAUCCAUUCAGUGCACAUCCUGGACAGCUGUUGCCGUUUUCACAGGUGCGGACCCUGGAGUGGACGCCGCCCCCGCACUCUGUGCUGCACUUGGUCCAGGAGCCCCACGGGGACCAGAAGAUGGGCUGAGGACAGGGCACCCCUUCGUUGCAGAACCUGUGGCGGGACAGGAAGUAGCAGGGGUUGGUUAAUGUCAGCUUAUUGAAGCUGCAGUAAAGGACUCCCACCUCUCGUCCCUGCUCAGGCCCACGCACACUCGGCCGCCGUGUCGAGGCGAAGGGUUGUUGCAGGAGCGCUGGCGCAGCUCGAAGCCCGUCCCACAGGUCGUGCUGCACUGUCCCCAUGACGACCAGGGCGUCCAGCCUCCGUUCCUGUGGCAGCAGAAACACGGGACAUUAACCCACUCCCUCGCAGGGCUGUCUCUGACUGUUGUGCUUUUUAUUUUGUCUAAUCUUGGGUCUGAUUUGGAAGAAACACACACAGGGAGCGCAGUCGGACGAGGAGACAUUCAUUCAAUUUGCUUAAGUGCUUUGUUCCUCCGUAGCUCUCCUCGUGGUUUAAUUGCCACUUUCUGCAAAAGCACAAUUCAAUUCUGACACCAAGGAUUAAAUCUGGCAUGGAUAUCCGGUGGGAUGAAGGUGCCCAAGCACUUUAUCUCGUCUCUGUGCGCUGUAACACUGAUUGGGCCUAUUCCCCUGCAGACAGAGGCACUGAGCGGCGUCGUGAGGAGAACCUGGAUGUCACCUACGUUUAAUAAGAUCCCUCACAUUCACGCCUUAUCGCAGGUUCUGUCAGUGUAAAUACUGCUUUGAGGCGAGAGCUUCAUUUCCGCAAACGUAUUGGACACAAGCUCUGCGAGAACAGAACCCUCUUUACCUGGAGCAGUUGGCGACCUCGAUGGUGGGGCCCUCGCAGCUCCUGCCUCCACAUCGGGGAGCAGGGCUGUCACAUGACCUGGAGCGGCACAAACAGGAGCUCACGCCAUCCACGCCGUCGUCAUUGCUGCAGGGUUGCCACGGCGCCCACGGGCCGAAUCCACCGUUGGUGGUCUGGUUCCGCAGCUGCGAAACAAAUGUCAGUGGCUGCAGGCCUUGCCUUACCGGGCAAACUGUGAUGUUCUGCUUCCACUGGCUCAUGUUGGAGCUCUCCUCCAGCGUGGUGCAUCUCCGCUGCCUGAAGUCCCAGCCACAGUAGGGAUCCCUGGCUUCCAAGCACAGCCUGCAGGGAUCAGGGUACAAGGGCCACGCUUGUUAUAGUCACAGACUCAAAGUGGAAUAAACUGGCCCAUUAGACGCAA